GGUUUGAAUCUUUUGUGCAUUUAAUGCUCUGGGCGAGAAUUGUAUAAAAUAAAUUCACAGUUUUCGUUGGAUAAUAACGCCAUGAGAAGCCCAAAUCAGGUUUUAGCCAACAAGCUAUCCGAAUUUCUACAGUUCAUUUGCCACGAUGUUCAUCUGAUGCAUGUUUUGCUUAGAUGGUUCCUGAACGAAUUCCAAAAGCUUAUCGCCCUGGAGGAUUGAAUUUGCACUACCAAAAUCCAUGAUUUAAUUAGACUUACAAACACCUGAGAUGUAUUUGCUUUGUUCAAAUAGAAAAUUGUUUUGUGUGUAAAUA